UUCAAAACAUUGAAGAGCUGUGAGGAAUAAGCAAUAAACUCACUGAACUGCUGCUGCAAGUAACCUCAAAGUUAGCAUAAAGGUUAUUACUUAAGCUAACAAAAGUUAAUAUUUCUGAAUUCCCGACAUGGAAAAUUUGAAGUCCUGUCCCUCAUAGCCUACUGGCUGUGUAACUUAGCCUACUCAACAGGCUAUAUACGAACGCGUGGUGAAAGUGAAAGGUCAGCUGAGCCGGGCUGUUAAGAUAUUGCUGUUGCUGACUAGCAGGAUAGAUGCUGACCCAGAGAGGGCUGCUGCCAAGCUCCGCCCGUUAACGCCACUGGACAUCUCCCAUAGAGGGGUCUAGUAUAGGGUUAUACUAGACCCGGGGCUAGUAUAUCUCUUUGGCAUCUCCUGGACCUGACCUCCUCGGAGGGACACCGCAGGGUCUUUUUUAAGGAGGCAUUGCAUCAGGAACAGUUUAAAACUUGUGCAGAUGUAAAUGAUUUCACCCCCAACUGCAAAAGUGACCAUGGCUGAUGAAAUCUCCCUACAGAUGUCUGAGAAGGCAGCUGUUGAAAAGAGAAGUAGAAGGAAACAUAAAGGAAGGCACAGUGUCACUCCUUCAGUCCCAGAAGGACAGAUCUUAAUUGACACUCUCAAUGUGAAGGCGGACUCUUCAUCUGAUGGUGUUUGUGUAGGUAUGAAUUCACUUUUAGAGAGCAGUGAGACCGGAAUCCUUUAUUUGAACCCUCAAACACCAAACUGGUCUCUUGUGGAGAAGUUUGCUGAGCUUUCACCGGAAGAAGAAAGAGAAGCUAAUGAUGACCAAGACCACAGCAGUCAAGAACUGUUACAGUACACUAUUGAGAACAAUAAAAUGUGUGGAUCUGA